rnacentral:rRNA from 1 species
UACGAAGGGGGCUAGCGUUGUUCGGAUUUACUGGGCGUAAAGCGCACGUAGGCGGGUCGUUAAGUCAGGGGUGAAAUCCCGGAGCUCAACUCCGGAACUGCCUUUGAUACUGGCGACCUUGAGGCUGGAAGAGGUUAGUGGAAUUCCCAGUGUAGAGGUGAAAUUCGUAGAUAUUCGGAAGAACACCAGUGGCGAAGGCGACUUACUGGACACAUAUUGACGCUGAGGUGCGAAAGCGUGGGGAGCAAACAGG